rnacentral:rRNA from 1 species
CAAUAGCGUAUAUUAAAGUUGUUGCAGUUAAAAAGCUCGUAGUUGGACCUUGGACCUGGACAGGCGGUCCGCCUCACGGCGAGUACUGUCUUGCUGGGUCCUUCCUCUUGGUGAUCUGUUGUUUCGGCAGCAGGGAACCAGGACCUUUACUUUGAAAAAAUUAGAGUGUUCAAAGCAGGCUCGACGCCGGAAUAUAUUAGCAUGGAAUAAUAAAAUAGGACGUGCGGUUCUAUUUUGUUGGUUUUUGGAAUCGCCGUAAUGAUUAAUAGGGACAGUCGGGGGCAUUAGUACUCACAUGCUAGAGGUGAAAUUCUUGGAUUUUGUGAAGACUAACUUCUGCGAANGNAUUUGCNAAGGAUGUUUNCAUUA